GCUCCAGUAUACCACCCAUGUGCAAUGAUCCAAACCACCACUUGCUAGUAUAGCUUUAUCCUUGUGGUGAUGGGAGUGCGACAGAUCGGACACGACCCGAGACUCUGUCCACAGUCACAGCAGGUCUGCAAUGAAAAAGCUUUGUUAGAGAAGGAUAUGAAGCUGACGUCUCAACACACUUCCACAACCGAAAAUGACUACAGCAACAAGACACUAAUCUACUAGGUACCAUAAGAAAAACGGCACUGGCAGGCAUACUGGUUUCCAUUAAAAAGAAAAUGUAUAGAUCCACUAACACAAGAAAGGAGAGAGAUUCACCUGGUGUCCACACCCAAACGCCAUGUCUUUGGGGUUCACAAGGCAGAUAGGGCAGACCUACAGAUAAAUUUGAUGGUCAGAUACAAAUGCUACGCAAUUGCCUCUCUUAAAAGAACUUUAACUCGGAUAUCAGGAAGAAAUGAAAUAUUGUCAGAGCACAUGGAUUAGUACCUGGUUGUCAUAAGUGGACGUAGGUGCGACUGGGGUGGCGCUAUGUGGAUUUUCGUAGUGAGGAUACGGUGAUGCGGAUGAUGAACUCUGCGGGUAGGUGGUUGGCUUACUAAAGCUUUUAUUAGAUGAAUAGGAAUAAGCAUCAUCGAUUCCAGCAGGAGGCGGCAGAGCCACCCGGUCAUGAGACUUGAAAGAGCGACGACUGCUCACAACAUGUUGAUACAAGUCAGUAUGU
rnacentral:lncRNA from 1 species